rnacentral:rRNA from 1 species
UUGUGUGCGAAGGGUAGCAUAAUCAUUAGUCUUUUAAUUGAAGGCUUGUAUGAAUGGUUGGACAAAAAGUUAACUGUCUCAAUUAUAAAAAUUGAAUUUAACUUUUAAGUGAAAAGGCUUAAAUACACUGAGGGGACGAUAAGACCCUAUAAAGCUUUACAAUAAAUUAAUUAAAUUAUAAAUUAUAAGUUUAACUUAAUUUAAUUAGUAUUUGUUUCGUUGGGGCGACGAGAAUAUAAUUAUAUAACUGUUCUUUUAUUGUUAUAACAAAUUUAAUUGGGUGAAAAUUGAUCCUUUUAUAAAGAUUAAAAGAUUAAGUUACUUUAGGGAUAACAGCGUAAUCUUCUUUGAGAGUCCAUAUCGACAAGAAGGGUUGCGACCCCG